GCCUGACCGUAAACCUUAAAUUACACCUCAAUCGCCAGGGAACUACGAGCAAAGCUUAAAACCCAAAGGACUUGACGGUACCCCACAUCCACCUAGAGGAGCCUGUCCUAUAAUCGAUAAUCCACGUUAUACCUCACCACUUUUAGCUUCUCAGCCUGUAUACCUCCGUCGUCAGCUUACCACGUGAGCGAAACUCAGUGAGCAUAAUGUCCACACGUCUAUACGUCAGGUCAAGGUGCAGUAAAUGAAGUGGCAAGAGAUGGGCUACACUUUCUAACUUAGAACAUACGAAAGAUCAUUUAUGAAAACUGAUCAGAAGGCGGAUUUAGUAGUAAAAGAAAAUCAGAAAAUUUCUUUAAAUUUGGCACUGGGGUGUGUACACACCGCCCGUCACCCUCUUCAAAGCUAAAUAAAAGUAAUUAACCUUUCAAUGCCCCACAGAAGAGGCAAGUCGUAACAUGGUAAGUAUACCGGAAGGUGUGCUUGGAAA
rnacentral:rRNA from 1 species